GAUGGAGAACGUAGCGAAAUGCGAUAAGUAAUGUGAAUUGCAGAAUUCAGUGAAUCAUCGAAUCUUUGAACGCACAUUGCGCCCCCUGGUAUUCCGGGGGGCAUGCCUGUUCGAGCGUCAUUUCACCACUCAAGCCUCGCUUGGUAUUGGGCAUCGCGGUCCGCCGCGCGCCUCAAAUCGACCGGCUGGGUCUUCUGUCCCCUAAGCGUUGUGGAAACUAUUCGCUAAAGGGUGUUCGGGAGGCUACGCCGUAAAACAACCCCAUUUCUAAGGUUGACCUCGGAUCAGGUAGGGAUACCCGCUGAACUUAAGCAUAUCAAUAAGCGGAGGA
rnacentral:misc_RNA from 1 species